GAGCUGUCAGAAUAUAGCAAGCACUUAAUGUUUACCGGUAACGUAAUUGGCGGUUCACUUGACCUGAGCUCUUCCCAGGCAUUUUUGUUUCAAUAUAUCAUUGGAGAGUAGGCAUUCAUGCCGAAAAUCGUGUUUACUCUGCACUAGUUCAACAACAACAGCAUAAGAACGCGUUACUAGGCUACAUAUCCGUUACAAUGAAUGUGAAGAAAUUGGAAUAUCUCACCUAGCGUCCCGUACCCCAGUCUCAUUCCAAAUACCCAUCAAACGAAAAUGCUAGCUGUGUCCUCCCUAACUCUGUUGCGUGAAUCCACCUGCUAACACGUUGCUUGUAGGUUGGUAAAUUGUAAUUAGCUAUUUAAUGUUUUUGCUAAUCUAAGCUAAGCAUUAUUGCAAAGCAUUCUAAUAGUGGAAUUAACAAAGAAAACCUGUGCUCUGCAUGAAUUACAGAUGUCCUGUUUGUUGAUAUCUCCAGGCACAAUGACUGCCUUAUGCCACUGCCUAAUGUGAAAAGCUGAAAGAGACAGUCGAAUCCUGCAUGGAGUAAUGAAAAAAGAUUCAACAGUAUAUUACACCCAUGUCAUCAUCAUAUCCUUAAGCACAGUAUCAAAGUCUCCUCAGAGAGGCAUUUUAAGUCAAGAGCCCACUUGGAUGAGAGGUGACAGAGAGCGUCAGAGUGAAGGCAAAGCCUGCAACCCUUUGAUACUAAAUCAUUCUUCUCUUUUUAAAAUAAACAUCUUCACUACCC
ensembl:lncRNA